GACGAACGCUGUCGGCGUGCUUAACACAUGCAAGUCGAACGAAGUGGCGAACGGGUGAGUCACGCGUAAUCAACCUGCCCUUCAGAGGGGGACAACAGUUUGAAACGACUGCUAAUACCGCAUACUGAGGGAGGGGCUUGCGUCUGAUUAGCUAGUUGGAGGGGUAACGGCCCACCAAGGCGAUGAUCAGUAGCCGGGCUGAGAGGAGGAACGGCCACAUUGGGACUGAGACACGGCCCAGACUCCUACGGGAGGCAGCAGUGGGGAAUCUUCCGCAAUGGACGAAAGUCUGACGGAGCAACGCCGCGUGAGUGAUGACGGCCUUCGGGUUGUAAAGCUCUGUUAAUCGGGACGCGGUACCGGAAUAGAAAGCCACGGCUAACUACGUGCCAGCAGCCGCGGUAAUUC
rnacentral:rRNA from 1 species